GAUGAACGCUGGCGGCGUGCUUAACACAUGCAAGUCGAACGGAAAGGCUCCUGCUUUCAGGGGUACUCGAGUGGCGAACGGGUGAGUAACACGUGGGUGAUCUGCCCUGCACUUCGGGAUAAGCCUGGGAAACUGGGUCUAAUACCGGAUAGGACGAUGGUUUGGAUGCCAUUGUGGAAAGUUUUUCGGUGUGGGAUGAGCUCGGGGCCUAUCAGCUUGUUGGGGGGGUAAUGGCCUACCAAGGCGUCGACGGGUAGCCGGCCGGGGAGGGGGUACGGCCAAAUUGGGAAUGGGAGGCGGCAGAGACUACUCGGGGAGGAAGCGGUGGGGCAUAUUGCACAAUGGGCGCAUGCGUGAUGAAGGGACGCGGGGUGGGGAAUGCGGGCGUUAGGGAAGAAAACGGCUUUCGCAAGAGACGAAGCGCAGGAGGGGGCACCUGGAGAAGAAGCACCGGAUAUAUACG
rnacentral:rRNA from 1 species